UGACUGGGAGUUGCUAUUAGAGCACAUGUCCACAAGAUGGCACCAGAGCGCCAGCAGAGCCCUGCUGCAGCUCCAAGGCUGCAUCUCCAGGCUCAGAUACAGGGUGGAAAAUGAUUGGUGGAGACCAGAUAUUUCCAUUUAGAUACAUGUUGCCUCAAACCCUAUGGUUCAGUGUGCCUCAACUCAGAGGAUUUAGGCUCUGACAUCACAUCUCUGCUUCAGUCUCUACAUGAUCAGGUGCCCCAAUGGCCUGAGUGCCUUUAGCUGAUUUGAAGUAGCACACUGGACCCAGAAAUACCUGGCUUAAAUCUUGGGGUGCAGUUUUUUAGUUCAGGCUGGUAUGAUAUUUGGCUUCUGGAAAGCUGGGCUUUGGGUCAUGAAUUCAGCCCAUCAAUGCAGUAGUAUUUUGGGGGGGGGGUGGAGUUUCUCAUCAUCCCUGUGCUCUUUCUGUCCAGAGGUCUCCACAUCCUCCUCCUCCCUACUCUACCUGAGCUUCUUCCUCAUCUGCGGGACCCUGUGCCAAGGAACCUACCCAAAUCCAGGGCUGAAGGGGGCUGAUGGGUUGACUGCCAGCUAUCUUGACUUAACAAGCAGGGUCUCUGAUUUCAGGGAUUGGGUUGGUGUCGGAUGGGGUGAAUGUCCUGGCGACUUUGAGACAGUCCUACCUGCAAGGUAAAGGAGUUAGGAAAUCAUACUGGUAAGUACCCUGGGCCAGUGCAGAGCAGGCUUCUGCUCUGGGAAGCAGAUGAAGGGCUUGGAGUUGCUGUUAGAGCACAUGUCCACCAGACGGCGCCAGAGCAGCAGCAGAGCCCCCACCCCACAGCUCCCCGGCUGCACCUUCAGCCACAAAUAUGAGGUUGGAGAUGGGUUGGUGGAAGCCAGAAGAGGUGCCCAGAGCUGGGGCUUGGCUGCAGGGCACCUCUAACUCUGGACAAGUUGCCUCAUCUUGGGGGAGGGGACAUGGUUCUGCCAUCACAUCUAAGGCUCACUUCCUGCAUGGUCUGGUGGCCCAGGGGCUAGAGAGUUUGACAGGCUGCCUUGGCUCUGAGUCUCCUUUGAUUGUUUGGAGGCAGAUUUCUGUACCCAGAAACACUUAGCUUGAAUCUUGGACGUCCAUUUUUCUGAAAUGAGGCUGACCUCACCUCCUGUCUUUUAGUGUAUUCAGUGCUCUGAGAGGCCAAGGAGGAGGAAAAUCAUGCUGGUUUGUGCCCAAGAUCAGUCCUGGAUUUAUAAGUUCUGGAGUUCCUCUUGUGGCUCAGUGGGUUAAGAACCUUACUUGUAUCCAUGAGGAUGCAGGUUCAAUUCCUGACCGCUUAGUGGGUUAAGGAUCCAGCAUUGCCAUGAGCUGUGGUGUAGGUUGCAGAUGUGGCUCAGAUCUGGCGUUGCUGUGGCUGUGGUGUAGGCUGGCAGCUGCAGCUCUGAUUUGACUCCUGGCCUGGGAUCCUCCAUAUGCUGUGAAUGCAGCCCUAAGAAGACCAAAAACUUACAAGUCUAGUUGUCAAUGCAUUUGUUUCUGGGUCCAAAGAUCUGCCUCUGUUGAAACAAAGGGCACACUGACCCAAGGAACUUUUCACACUCUGGCACCUGGCACACCCAAUCAGGCUGGACAUGCCCAUCAGAUGCUGAAGGCACAGCUGUGUCCCCUCCCUGAGGUGAGGCACUUUGGUGAGAGUAUGAGAGGUACCCUGUAACCAACCCCAGACCUAUGAGCAUGCACCGAGUGUUCCAACAGUCCUACUUUAACUCCAUCGCUGAGACUGUUCUUGCAACCAGGCAGCUGCAGGUGGGCUCCGCCUGUGCUCUUGUGCUACCCGGCGACCCCGCUCUCUGAUCAUGAACUCUCAGCCCUUCCUGCUGUUUCCAUCAUCUGCCUCUGAACCCACCCUGGCUUGGGCGCUGGCAGCUUGAUUUCAUUUCUCUCAGCCACUAAGCGGAAUGAAUGCCCUCAACACUGGGGUAUAUCUCUCUCUCAGUCUCCCAGAGCACUCACCCCAACCUACCCCCCCACAGUACAUCAAAACCCUCCCCACCCACUGUGUCCUGAGCUCCUUCUUGAAAUCAGUCACACUGUUCUCACUCAUAUGACCUUCCUUUGGGUCUGCUCCCUGAAACAGCAGUCACAGCAACUAGAGGUUCAGAUGGAAGGGGAAGAAUUAACUUUGGGGAGAACUCUUGAAAGGUAAAGUACAGGGAUUCCUGUCUGCCCUUCAAAACAGCGCAAUGUGGAGUUCCCAUCAUGGCUCAGUGGAAAUGAAUCUACCAUCCAUGAGGACGCAGGUUUGAUCCCUGGCCUCACUCAGUGGGUUAAGGAUCCAGCGUUGCAAUGAGCUGUGGUGUAGGCUGGCGACUGCAGCUCCAAUUUGACCCCCAGCCUGGGAACCUCCAUAUGCCGAGGGUGCAGCCCUAAAAGAACAAACAGGAAUUCCCGUCGUGGCUCAGUGGUUAACAAAUCCGACUAGGAACCAUGAGGUUGCGAGUUCGAUCCCUGCCCUUGCUCAGUGGGUUAAGGAUCCGGUGUUGCCGUGAGCUGUGGUGUGGGUUGCAAAUGCGGCUUGGAUCCCGUGUUGCCAUGGCUCUGGCGUAGGCUGGUGGCUGCAGCUCUGAUUAGACCCCUGGUCUGGGAACCUCCAUAUGCUGCGGGAGCAGCCCAAGAAAUGGCAAAAAGACAAAAAUAAAUAAAAUAAACAAAAAACAAAAUAGCAUAACUUUGAGAGCUCCACUCAUGACCACCAGCCCCUUUUGCCACAUGACAACUUUAUGGAGGCUGCAGGCUCGGUAAUCAAAAGGCAAAGAUUCAAGACACGUAUGGCAGGACCAGUGUAUUGGGUUCUGGUAAAGCAAAAAGCAAACCAACCCCAGAGACCAUGUCCACCUCUCUGGCCCCUGGGUAACCAGAGAAGGAUGGAAAUACCCAUCAGAUGCAGAAAGCACACCUUUCCACUCCCUGAGGUGAGUCAAUUUGUGCCAGUCAGUGGCACCCUGUAACCCAUCUCAACACACUGGACAAGUCCCAUGGGUCCUACUAACCCACCUUUGCACCAUCUCUUGGCCUGGAGGUGCAGCCAGGGAGCUGCAGAUGGGCUCUCUCUGUACUCUAGAAGGAUUUCCAACCUUCUAGAGGCUGUCCCCUCUUAACACCAACUCUCAGCAUUUCCUCCUGUUUCCCGAGCAUCCCCUGAAGCUAAACUUGGGCCCUGGCAGCUUGAUUUCAUUUCUCCCUAGCCACCAAGCCCAAUGAAGAGGCCUAGACACUGGGGUGAUUCUCUCACAGUCUCCCAAAGCACUCACCUCAACCUACCCCACCCCAGUACUUUAAAACCCUCUGCCUCCCCACCCAGUGUGUCCUGAGUGCCCUCACUCACGUGACCUUCCUUUUGGUCUGCUCCCUGAAACAGGGGCCAGAGACACAAAAAAGGCUCAAGGAGUUCCUGUUGUGGCACAGCAGAAACGAAUCCAACUAGGAACCAUGAGGUUGCAGGUUCGAUCCCUGGCCUCAGUGGGUUAAGGAUCUGGCGUUGCCGUGAGCUGUGGUGUAGGUUGCAG
rnacentral:lncRNA from 1 species